rnacentral:rRNA from 1 species
CCUACGGCGGCUGCAGUGGGGAAUAUUGGGCAAUGGGCGCAAGCCUGACCCAGCACCGCCGCGUGAAGGAAGAAGUCUUUCGGGUUGUAUACUUCUCUUCUGAGGGACGAAGAAAGUGACGGUACCUCAGGAAUAAGCCACGGCUAACUACGUGCCAGCAGCCGCGGUAAUACGUAGGUGGCAAGCGUUAUCCGGAUUUAUUGGGUGUAUAGGGCGUGGAGGCGGGAAAGCAAGUCAGAUGUGAAAACUCAGGGCUCAACCCUGAGCCUGCAUUUGAAACUGGUUUUCUUGAGUGCUGGAGAGGCAAUCGGAAUUCCGGGUGUAGCGGUGAAAUGCGUAGAUAUACGGAGGAACACCAGUGGCGAAGGCGGAUUGCUGGACAGUAACUGACGCUGAGGCGCGAAAGCGUGGGGAGCAAACAGGAUUAGAUACCCUAGUAGUC